rnacentral:rRNA from 1 species
UAAGCGUGCGCAGGCGGUUUUGUAAGACUGUCGUGAAAUCCCCGGGCUCAACCUGGGAAUGGCGAUGGUGACUGCAAGGCUAGAGUUUGGCAGAGGGGGGUAGAAUUCCACGUGUAGCAGUGAAAUGCGUAGAUAUGUGGAGGAACACCGAUGGCGAAGGCAAUCCCCUGGGCCUGUACUGACGCUCAUGCACGAAAGCGUGGGGAGCAAACAGGAUUAGAUACCCUAGU